UAAAAAAUUAACGCGUGAACUGUGAAGGUUGUAAAGAGGCGUUGCUUCUUCAAUUAGGAAUUAUCACGCGUCCCUUUGAAAAUGGCCUUGAGUAAAAAAUGGGGAAGGACAAUCACAAAGGACAGUUGACCUCGUGGUUUCUCGUUGCUCCAUUUUGCCGAAUGUCGGCUGCCAGCCAACAAAGCGACGAUUUACCAGCAGCGAAAUAAUAAAAACGGCUCGUUUAAUGGCGUGAUGUUUAGCUACGUGCUGAACGCGCUGCGUAAUAAAACGGACCCAAUACAAUCGAGCUAAGUGCUCCGACUGAGCUGCCUGCAACUGUUUCGUUGAAAAUUUUUAAUGAUUCCUCGUUAAUGAAACCUCGAACAAGGAUGUUGUAGCGUGGUUUCGCAAUAUUUCCGGAAAAAGAUUCCGGCGUUUAAUUCUCGAAUGAUAUUAUGUCAUAAAUGAUUAGAAUAAUUUACGUUAGAUUACUAAAAUCCAAAUUGUUUAACUUAUCACGCGUUUUAUAUAUUAAAUAUUCCAAAAUUAAACAAUCUAAUCCUACAUUUAGUUAAGAGUUAAUAACGUCGUGUUGAGAUUAAGAGCGUAGAGUUGUAAUACGGAUAAGUUGAUACUUGACUCGAUCCUUAACUUUUUCUUUUAAUGAUUCCAUCUCAAGUUUUAAUACUUUCCAGAGGUUGCUGUUUAUCUUUCUAUCCAAUGCAUCGUUACCUCGUCAAGUAUCUUCUUCCUUUAACUAUUUCUUCCUGGCUCUUUCCACCAAGUGAAGUCAUUUUUCAUGAUUGUUCUUUUUUCUUACUAAAUGUUUCUUGUUUCAAGAUUUUACGA
rnacentral:lncRNA from 1 species